rnacentral:rRNA from 1 species
UACGAAGGCGGCAAGCGUUGUUCGGAUUUACUGGGCGUACAGGGAGCGUAGGCGGUUGGAUAAGCCCUCCGUGAAAUCUCCAGGCUUAACCUGGAAAGUGCAGAGGGGACUGUUCAGCUAGAGGAUGGGAGAGGAGCGCGGAAUUCCAGGUGUAGCGGUGAAAUGCGUAGAUAUCGGGAGGAACAUCAGUGGCGAAGGCGGCUACCUGGCCCAAUACUGACACUCAGGUGCGACAGCGUGGGGAGCAAACAGG